rnacentral:rRNA from 1 species
CGCACGGGUGAGUAACGCGUAGGUAAUCUACCCUUAUGACUGGGAUAACAUUGGGAAACCGGUGCUAAUACCGGAUACACUUCUUUACUGCGGGGUAAAGGAGGAAAGGUGGCCUCUUCAUGAGAGCUACCGUAUAGGGAUGAGCCUGCGUACCAUUAGCUAGUAGGCGGGGUAACGGCCCACCUAGGCAACGAUGGUUAGCGGGUCUGAGAGGAUGAUCCGCCACACUGGAACUGGAACACGGACCAG